rnacentral:rRNA from 1 species
GACGAACGCUGGCGGCGUGCUUAACACAUGCAAGUCGAACGGAAAGGCCCUGCUUUUGUGGGGUGCUCGAGUGGCGAACGGGUGAGUAACACGUGAGUAACCUGCCCUUGACUUUGGGAUAACUUCAGGAAACUGGGGCUAAUACCGGAUAGGAGCUCCUGCUGCAUGGUGGGGGUUGGAAAGUUUCGGCGGUUGGGGAUGGACUCGCGGCUUAUCAGCUUGUUGGUGGGGUAGUGGCUUACCCAGGCUUUGACGGGUAGCCGGCAUGAGAGGGUGACCGGCCACAUUGGGACUGAGAUACGGCCCAGACUCCUACGGGAGGCAGCAGUGGGGAAUAUUGCACAAUGGGCGGAAGCCUGAUGCAGCAACGCCGCGUGCGGGAUGACGGCCUUCGGGUUGUAAACCGCUUUCGCCUGUGACGAAGCGUGAGUGACGGUAAUGGGUAAAGAAGCACCGGCUAACUACGUG